AUGAUUAUACAAACUAAUGAUGGCUCAUGUAACAGGCCCUUCGGCCGCAAUACAAACAGAGCCCUGUUUAGGACAAAAGUUUUAUGGUGCAAGGCUAGAGUUAACAAUCUGAAUUGGUUGUUGUCAAUUGAGGCCCUUUGGUUUAUCUGGUUUAACGGUAGUAUGAACUACCUUGAAGUAUUUUUCCUAUUUUGA